AAAUUUGUGUACCUGAACCUAGGUAGUUUUCUCCCUCUUUAAGCUUUUUCGUUUUAUCUUUAAUCCAUUGGUGUGCUGAAAUCCAUAGGCUUGUUGUUGUUUUGUGAGGAUACCUUGAUUUACUGCUCAUUUCAUAUGCGUUGAGUGUUGUUGAUAGUGUGAUGUGUGGUUGUUUAGAGAUCGUUUUUUAUUUAGAAUUUUGAUUUUUGGGUAUGUUUGAUCUCCGUUUUGGUUAGGUUUUGG
rnacentral:lncRNA from 1 species